UGGGGUGUAGCCAAGCGGUAAGGCAGCGGUUUUUGGUACCGUGCAUCGGAGGUUCGAAUCCUUUCACCCCAA
rfam:Chlamydia psittaci 08-2626_L3 genomic scaffold CP_08_2626_L3.contig.636, whole genome shotgun sequence.